GUCACAUGUUGUAUGUGCUUUAAAUUGUAUGUAUUCUGUAAAUUAUUGUAUGGGGUUGCUGAGAUUUUAUUGCUUGCGACCCAAACUGUGAAGAAGUUGGUUUGAAAUUUUGGUCAUGGAAUGUAGGAUCAGAAAACCAUGGACAAAGGUUUUUACCUGUGUUGAUAUGACUUUUGGAAACUCAAACUGACCGGUCAAAAUUUUGCCAUGCCUUUAACAUGGAGUAGUAUAAAUAUUUUGAGUCUUUGAGAGUUCUGACAAAUGCAGGUGAUACCAUGUCUGUGUAAUCUGGUCCAAAUGUUCUAUAAGCGUAUAAGAGAGAAAUUCCAUUGACAGG